GACGCAAAGGGAGUGCGCGCCUGGAGUGGCGUCAAAUCCUUGGAGAGAGCGCCCCCUUGCGGGAGGCCUGGGGAAUCCGGAGUCUCAAAGAAUUAACGUUUGCAUUAGAUUUCCAUCCAUACAUUCAAUUUCAUCCUUCCACCGGUUUGUAAUAGAAAAGCGUCCCGUUGUAAUUAGCUACUUUCUCUCUGGAGGCCAACUCUGCUGAUUAGCCAGGUUUCUCAGUUGCUACGUGCCUUCAUCUCAUCAACUGUAAAAUGGGGAUCAAACUCAGGACCUUGCGCUUGUGAGGCAGGCACCGGAACCACUGAACUAAAUCCCUGGCCCUGAACUAUAUUUGUUAUAUAACAAAAUCUAAAACAAACCUGAAAAUUGUAUAGAGAAAAAGAAGAAGAGGAAGAAGGAGAAGGAGAAGAGGAAGAAGAAGUGGCAAUCAGAAGCAAGGCAAGAGGACAAAAGAUUAUGCAAACUUUGGGAAAUUGAUGAAGAUGACAGAAGGGAAAGAGAGAAGGAAGAAAUAAAAGCAAGAGUAGAACAGAAGAAUAACAACAAGAAAACUAGAAACAAUGUUCACACUCCUAUAAAAACAAGAAUGAACCAUCAAGAAAAUAGAAAAUAAAACAAAAUAAAAACAAAACUAGGAAAAAAAAAAAGAAGAAAAAUGUCCACUUCAUGGUGUGCCUCUACUGUCAUUGAUAGAGUGGGCAGACAGAGCCCAGAUCCAUGUUGAUUAAUCCUAGCUGGUGGUAGAUUCAAAGUGAGGCAGUGGAAAAUCCCAGCAAGCCCACACCUUUAGUUCCACUGAAGUUCAGGCUAUUUUCUGGUUGUGAGGCUGGAACGUGAUUUGUUCAGACUGCAACAUUCUGUGUGCCUCCUGCAAGCUUGAACUUGGCUCCUUGACCUCCUGCCAAUUUGAACUCAGUUCCACCUCAACCUGACACUGGGAGCUGUUAGAUGGAGCCAGCUAACAACUGUUCUGAGUUCCAAGCUCAGUUGUCCUCUCUCCAAGAUGGCCACCAGGCAAUUGCCCUCUCCUGGGGGAUAUCUGAACCUCAAUAACUCAUCAGCCACUGCAGUCUACUGCAUCCACUGCUCCAUUUCACUGGUGAAUUUCUCUGUGGAGACCUCUAGGGUCACCAGUAGUCAUCAUGUGUCUGCAGGUUUGAGCUGCCCUUUCCACACAGUGAGUCAGGGUUCAGGGAGAAAGCACCACUUGCAACUUCCUUCUUCUUCAUUGAAAUCUCUCUCCUUGCUCUCCCCGUGGGCCUCAAUUUUCACUGCAGAUCCUUGCUGGGUUCUGGGGACCCACUUACCUCCUUCUCUCCCUCACGUUGCUAUAUUCCAGCGUCUGGAUAACAAAUCUCAGAGAGGCUGUUUCUCUGCUGUUCACCACUCCACCUUGUUCCCAGAAAUGCACCAUCAUAGCCAGCUUUGUCAUUCAUAAAAAGAAACUUUCUCCAGUUCAAUAUUAUAAAAACACUUCUUGUUUUCUUCCAGUUUUUACAUGGCUUCAUAUUUUACCUUUAAAUUCACCAUGAAUUCACUUUGGUAUAAAAUGUGAAGAAUUAAAAUUUUUUUUCCAAAUAACA